UACGAAGGGGGCUAGCGUUGCUCGGAAUCACUGGGCGUAAAGGGCGCGUAGGCGGCUGAUUUAGUCGAGGGUGAAAGCCCGUGGCUCAACCACGGAAUGGCCUUCGAUACUGGUUGGCUUGAGACCGGAAGAGGACAGCGGAACUGCGAGUGUAGAGGUGAAAUUCGUAGAUAUUCGCAAGAACACCAGUGGCGAAGGCGGCUGUCUGGUCCGGUUCUGACGCUGAGGCGGCGAAAGCGUGGGGAGCAACAGG
rnacentral:rRNA from 1 species